GCCAGGUGCGGUGGCGUGUGCCCUAUAGUCCCAGCUACUCAGGAGGCUGAGGUGGGAGGAUCGCUUGAGCCCAGGAGCUCUGGGCUGCAGUGCGCUAUGUCGAUCGAGUGUCUGCACUAAGUUCGGCAUCAAUAUGGUGACCUCCCGGGAGCGGGGGACCACCAGGUUGCCUAAGUAGGGGUGAACAAGCCCAGGUCGGAAACGGAGCAGGUCAAAACUCCUGUGCUGAUCAGUAGUGGGAUUGCGCCUGUGAACAGCCACUGCACUCCAGCCUGGGCAACAUAGUGAGACCCCAUCUCU
rnacentral:SRP_RNA from 1 species